rnacentral:sRNA from 21 species
GUGAACUACCACUGAGCUGAAGACGCAGUGGCUUCUUCGGAAGUCACUGAAGACGCAGACCAGGAGCUCCUUCGGAAGCUUGAGUUCACCAGACUCGUUUCCAGAAAUGGGAACAGCGUUCGAUUGGUCAUGACACCUGCGGUUGACGCAUCAGACCGCUGCUCUGUC